GUGCCCACCCCACACUUCUGGAAAGUGAUAGUGCCAUUAUUCAGGUGACGUGUGCAGUGUCGUGCGCAGCUGUGUUGAAAAAAACAGUGUGCAGCCGUACAGUGCAUAAGAGGCAGGGCCAGACAACUGUGCGCCGGAGACCGACGCCCCCCGGAGUGAGAGUCGGGUCGGGCUCACCACGUGUGUUACCCGCACUGUGCAGUUUCCAGAGCCGGAUCGGGCCGCCCUUGUCUCCCCGCCCACACCGUAUGCCGCCCCCACCCACUACGUGUACACAACCUUAUGAGGGCGGUCGCUACAUAGGCUUUAGUGUGUGCUGAGGCGUGGUGAUGGGCUAGUGUUGUGGCCUGGCCGGCCCCACCCGCCCGGAUACUCCCGCACACAUUGCGCAACCCGGGUGUCCCCCACCGACGUCAGGGCCUCGUGUCCCCCCAACCUCUCCUCUCCCCCCCCCCCCCACGUGACGCCCACACUCCCCGGGUGUCCCAGCUUGGUGAGGGUGGGAAGACCAGCUGGCCCUGGCCGCACCACCCCACCUGACACUGUCUGCCGGCCUGGUAUAUGACCUGUCUGUCCUCGCACCAGCCAAUGUCACCCACUGAUGUCUACCUACACUGUCCCUCUGCCCCUCCACGACCCCACCUCCACUCACUGGCUGUCUCCACCACAGCCUUACCACCAGACCCACUCGCCAGCUGGCCGCACCAGCUACCAACGUGACCACAUAAAAACAGUAAUUUGCCAGUGCGUGUGUAGGGCCGCUGCCAGACUGUUUGGCGCUCUAGGCAAGGCAGCCUGGUUGAUACCUGAUCAACCAGGCUGUGAUUCGUACGUCAGGCUACGAGCAGCCGCGGCCAACACCCUGGUCAGCAACCAGGAGGCCUGGUCGACGACCGGGCCGAGGAGACGCUAAGCCCCGGAAGCACCUCAAGGUAACCUCAAGGGAUUACUGUGGUCUACAUCUACGAUGUCUCGCGAGGAUUAGUCUACAUCUACGGUGUAUCUCGCGAGGAUUAGUCUACAUCUACGGUGUCUCGCGAGGAUUAGUCUAUAUCUACGGUGUCUCUCGCGAGGAUUAGUCUACAUCUACGGUGUCUCGCGAGGAUUAGUCUACAUAUACGGUGUCUCGCGAGGAUUAGUCUACAUCUACGGUGUCUCGCGAGGAUUAGUCUACAUCUACGAUGUCUCACGAGGAUUAGUCUACAUCUACGGUGUCUCUUGCGAGGAUUAGUCUACAUCUACGGUGUCUCGCGAGGAUUAGUCUACAUCUACGAUGUCUCACGAGGAUUAGUCUACAUCUACGGUGUCUCUUGCGAGGAUUAGUCUACAUCUACCGUUUCUCUCGCGAAGAUUAGUCUACACUCUACCUUGAAUAUCAUAAAGAUUAGUCUUCAUCUGUCAUGUCUCACAGGGAUUAGUUUACACCUUCAGUGUCUCUCACAGGGAUUAAUCUAGACCUACUGUCUUUCAUUUACCAUAACUCUGACAGGGAUUAAUACAAACGUUGUGUUACUUUCAGCACAUCGUGGUUCAGUGGGAAUGUAUGCGUCUAGGGUAACCUUGAACGGGAGUUCAAAUCUACCGCCCUGCUCCAAAGAUUUUCUCAGAUAUACCAGGCUGCACAUGCCUCUGUAUGACUAACCAUCCUGUGUGAUGGGGAUUUUUUAGCAUCACCUAGUUAGCUUU
rnacentral:lncRNA from 1 species